rnacentral:rRNA from 1 species
UCUGAAUCUGCGAACGGCUCCGCAAACCAGUUGUAAACUAUAGCAAGCAAUCCUGUGGUUGGGCUUCGGCUCGGCCAUGGGUAACAUGGAUAACCCUGGUAAUUCUGAGGCUAAUACAAGAACGUACAACCUGGCUAACCGGCAACGGAAGGCUGGGGAACGUGCAACGUAUCGUAAUGGAUACCGGGAAAGGGUGCACGUUUGGACCGCGCUAAAAACAGUCCUUGGUAAGCCCUCACGGGCGAGCCUUGGCCUGAGCGGCUCUUGCGGUGUGCUUCUGACCUAUCAACUAGACGGCAGCGUAAGGGACAUGCUAUGGU